UACGUAGGAUCCAAGCGUUGUCCGGAUUUACUGGGUGUAAAGGGUGCGCAGGCGGACUUGUUAGUCAGAGGUGAAAUCUCACGGCUCAACCGUGAAACUGCCUUUGAUACUGCAGGUCUUGAAUUGGGGAGAGAGUUGUGGAAUUCCGAGUGUAGCAGUGAAAUGUGUAGAUAUUCGGAAGAACACCAGUGGCGAAGGCAGCAACUUGGCCCCAGAUUGACGCUCAGUCACGAAAUCAUGGGGAUCAAACAGG
rnacentral:rRNA from 1 species